GACGAACGCUGGCGGCGUGCCUAACACAUGCAAGUCGAGCGGGGAUUUAAGUGGAAGUUCUUCGGAAUGGAGAUUUAAAUUCUAGCGGCGGACGGGUGAGUAACGCGUGAACAAUCUGUCCCGGACAGGGGGAUAACACUUGGAAACAGGUGCUAAUACCGCAUAAGACCACGGCCUCGCAUGGGGCUGCGGUAAAAGGAGCAAUCCGGUUCGGGGUGAGUUCGCGUCCGAUUAGCUAGUUGGUGAGGUAACGGCCCACCAAGGCGACGAUCGGUAGCCGGCCUGAGAGGGUGAACGGCCACAUUGGAAAUGAGAGACGGUCCAAACGCCUACGGGAGGAAGCAGUGGGGAAUAUUGGGCAAUGGGCGAAAGCCUGACCCAGCAACGCCGCGUGAGGGAAGAAGGUUUUCGGAUUGUAAACCUCUGUCCUAUGGGACGAAGGAAGUGACGGUACCAUAGGAGGAAGCCCCGGCUAACUACGUG
rnacentral:rRNA from 1 species